rnacentral:tRNA from 1 species
GGUGGCUCAGUGGUAGAGUGCUUGUCUUGCAUGCAUGAGGUCCUGGGUUCCAUUCCUCAGCACCA